GAAUCCACCCCACAGCGCAUAGCUGGGAAGGCUGCAGGUUUUUUCAUAUUAGCCAGAAAGGCAGAGACUGUUUUUAAAAGGUGUGCUUCUCCAUGCCAAAGAAAGCCAUUUUCACCAGUGAAACAGAAGACUCAGCAGAAGAAAGUGGAGGCAGGAGGAUCCUUGCUUCUCCUAAACACCUGGACGAAAUGUGGAAGCUUGCGUAAAGGAGGUGUUCUAGGAAAGACUAAACAUUGGCUGCUUCGGGGCUAGAGGGGAGGCUGCUAAUGGGAGUCCAGGCUAAACAUCCAAGAUCAUAGAAAGAAGCUGAACUCCAGCCUGGUGGAAGACAAGACUAUUGCUGAAUUUGUAUUUAACUUUAAAUUUGAAUUUAACUGCUUUAUUGUAAUUUUAAUUUCAUUUCAAGUAGCAUAUAUUCUGUUUUCAUUUGUUAGGUUAACCUUAUCUUUAUCAUGGCCCCCAAUUUUUUAUUCUAAAUCUGCAUUAUUAUCAGCCUGACAUAAAAUCCUCUAGCAACCGCCGAAGAGAAGAGGAAAAUAUUCAGCAUCUAAUACUGGUAACAAAAAAUAACUUCCAAUGCCAAAUUAAGAUUUGCCUUGAUGUACACAUGUAGGAAAUUCAUGAUGCAAAGGCACCUUUAAGACUGUAUGAACUGGAUGAUUUGAAGAUUUAAGUUUAUAUUACCGCAAAAUGACUUAGGGUGCAACUAGUUUUCCUGUCUUGUUCUUGUGUGUUUCAAGGAUGUUCAACAAUGAGUGACCAAGGGCCAGAUUUUUAAAGGUAUUUAGGCACCUAAAGAUGCAGAUAGGUGCCUAGUGGGAUUUUUAUGAAUGUCCUGGGCUAGAUCCAUAACAAGAUUUAUGUGUCAAACUGCCACUUCAGACACCUAAAUCCAAAACUGAGUUUCUCACUGAUUAGUUGCCAACUAAUCCGGCAGGUGCUGAAAUUCCCUAGGCACCUAAGUCUCUGGUGGUGGGCAUGCUCAAAGCCAUUUCAAGCCUAAGGCCCAGUUCAUGCUUAAACCCCACUGUGAUCCUCAAACCAGGCAUUCCCCACCUAUCUCAUCCCAUCUGGACAGCAUUCUUAGAGCACAUAUACGAAUAAGGCUCUGCACAAAAUGGUGGUUCUGUUAAUCACAUUAUACCCUAUUGUGCAGGGGUUAAAGCACUCACUCAGAAUACCGGAGGGCUGGAUUUGAAUCCCACUCCACUUGAGAAGUGUAAGAUCUUGAACUCAGGUCUUCCUCUUCCCAGCUAAAUGUUCUAGUCACCAGCUAUAUAAAGUAUUCUAGGACAGGUCACUCUCAAUCUCUCAUGUUGAAGCUGUUCCACUUUGUGUAACAUACUUAAAUAAUCAUUAGAGGAGGGACUCAAACAUGAGUCUCCCACAUCCUAGGUUAGUGUUUAAACCACUAAGCUGUAGAAUAACUCUUUCUAGGACUUGAUGAUUCUUUAAGUAUUUUAUACAAAGUGGAACAGUUUCUACAAAAGAGAUGGAGUUAUAGACUAAAAUACCUCUUUAGCCCACUGUUUGACACUCACAAGUGAAAUGGGGAGACCUGGUUUCAAGUCCCUGCCCCAUCUCACAUACAGUAGGGAUGUGAAUGUAGGUGUCUAUCAGCCUGAAUGAGUGUUCUAAUCAUUGGACUAUAGGAUAAAAGGUGGAAUGGCACAACUAUCAAUGUUCUUUGUGAGAGAGGCCUAACUGUCUUAGGGACCUAAGUGUAGGAGAAGGUUCACAGCUAUGAAUCCCAAGUACCUUUGAUAGUGGUGCAUAGACCACACUCCUCUCACUAGCAUUUCCUAUCGGCUAGCAUAGGUGUCUCCCCAGUCAGUUUGCUGAAUUUUGUGAAUUAUGUUCUUAGGCAUCAAAUAAUCCCCAGGCAUUGUAUAGGGAGCCUGGGUGCCUAACUCAGGCCUGUGGAUUCCACUAGGCAACAGGGUAUCUAAAGUUAGGCAUUGAAUCUUUAAGUCUCAUUUGUAGAUCUAGUCUUAAAGUGCCUAACUCCUAUUGAAAUCAAUGGGACUUAGGCACUUUUGAAAAUCCCACUAUGCACUCCUAUCUGCAUCUUUAGGUACUGAAAUACCUUUAAAACUCUGGUUCUAAAGCUAUACCUAUUUGCUGUCAUCUACUUUCUUGAGGCAGAGGCUGAUAUCCUGGGUCCACUGAAGUCAAUUAGAGUGUGCACUAAUUAAUCAAACUGGUUUACUAAGGCUUAUAAUUAGUGUAAGACCUAAGAACAAUUUCCAUGGCAAUGGUAGAAACAAUUGGAUUU